AUUGAACGCUGGCGGCAGGCUUAACACAUGCAAGUCAAGCGGAGAUGAGGUGCUUGCACCUUAUCUUAGCGGCGGACGGGUGAGUAAUGCUUAGGAAUCUGCCUAUUAGUGGGGGACAACAUUCCGAAAGGAAUGCUAAUACCGCAUACGCCCUACGGGGGAAAGCAGGGGAUCUUCGGACCUUGCGCUAAUAGAUGAGCCUAAGUCGGAUUAGCUAGUUGGUGGGGUAAAGGCCUACCAAGGCGACGAUCUGUAGCGGGUCUGAGAGGAUGAUCCGCCACACUGGGACUGAGACACGGCCCAGACUCCUACGGGAGGCAGCAGUGGGGAAUAUUGGACAAUGGGCGGAAGCCUGGUCCAGCCAUGCCGCGUGUGUGAAGAAGGCCUUUUGGUUGUGAAGCACUUUAAGCGAGGAGGAGGCUACCUGGAUUAAUACUCUAGGAUAGUGGACGUUACUCGCAGAAUAAGCACCGGCUAACUCUGUGCCAGCCGCCGCGGUAAAAC
rnacentral:rRNA from 1 species